AGUUUCAUUUCAAUGUUUGGUUGGAGAGACCAAAUGUACUGAAUUUGAUUCAACUCACCUUUUGACAUCGGAAUGAUAAGAUUACCUGUCACAUAUAUCUUUUGUGGAUGACAUGCAUAGCACAGCACAGGACGGUCCAGCACACAAAUAAAUCAACCUUUUCACCGGCCGGCAACUACUUGUGAUUGGAUGGAUCUUGAAUCUUGAUACGCCUGCUUACUGCUGAAGAACUCGCACCAACGUGGGCGGAAGAGCAGAUGCGACCCGGUUCAUCUAAGGCUGGUGGUGCCGCGCGUCCUUGCCGUCGCAAGGCCAGACUUCCGCAGUCGCUCGUGGCACCAGCCGCCAUCAUCGCUCGCCUCCCUGGCUGCCGCCGCCCCUUUCCUGCUCUGUCUACCACGACAUUGAAGAGGGAGAGACGGAGGAGAGGCGAUGUCGUUCGUGAGGGAGAGACAAGGGGACAGAUCGAGAUGGACUGACGGCGCAGAUGGGAAGGGGUCGCGG
rnacentral:rRNA from 1 species